UCCCUGAUAGCUCAGUUGGUUAAGAAUCUGCCUGAGGUGCAGGAGACCCUGGUUCGAUUCCUGGGUUGGGAA
rnacentral:tRNA from 1 species